UACGUAGGGGGCUAGCGUUGUCCGGAAUCAUUGGGCGUAAAGCGCACGUAGGCGGACCAUCAAGUCGGUUGUGAAAUCCCUCGGCUUAACCGAGGACGUGCAUUCGAAACUGAUGGCCUUGAGUACGAAAGAGGAUCGCGGAAUUCCCGGUGUAGAGGUGAAAUUCGUAGAUAUCGGGAGGAACACCAGUGGCGAAGGCGGCGAUCUGGGUCGAUACUGACGCUGAGGUGCGAAAGCGUGGGGAGCAAACAGGG
rnacentral:rRNA from 1 species